rnacentral:rRNA from 1 species
UGGGGAAUUUUGGACAAUGGGCGCAAGCCUGAUCCAGCCAUGCCGCGUGAGUGAAGAAGGCCUUCGGGUUGUAAAGCUCUUUCGGCGGGGACGAAAUGGCGCGGGCGAAUAUCCCGCGUCGAUGACGGUACCCGUAGAAGAAGCACCGGCUAACUACGUGCCAGCAGCCGCGGUAAUACGUAGGGUGCGAGCGUUAAUCGGAAUUACUGGGCGUAAAGCGUGCGCAGGCGGUCUCGCAAGUCCGAUGUGAAAUCCCCGGGCUCAACCUGGGAACUGCGUUGGAAACUACGAGGCUGGAGUACGGCAGAGGGGGGUGGAAUUCCACGUGUAGCAGUGAAAUGCGUAGAUAUGUGGAGGAACACCGAUGGCGAAGGCAGCCCCCUGGGCUAGUACUGACGCUCAUGCACGAAAGCGUGGGGAGCAAACAG